CAGACCCGCGCGGGAGCGCGCGCACGUACACACACACACACACGCUCUUAUUCUUUUCUAUUAUCGUAAUUAUAGAGAGUAGAAAAUUUCUAUGAAAUCGAAAUUGUACUUUAUCAUCUGUCUUAAUCUUUCUCUUUUCCUCUAUUUUUCUUAUUAUCCCCCGUUGGUGUUAAUUAUCAUUCCCCUCGUAUAAUAGCUGACAACGUAAUCGACAUUACGUGAUCCCGUCUGAUUUUAAAGGGGCUAAAGAGAGCACCAUGAUGGAACGUGAAAUGAUACUCUUUGGAGACGAAGUGUACCGAGGACCCCCCACCCCCUCCUCUCUCUUUCUCUCUCUCUAUCUCUCUCUCUCUCUCUCUCUUUCUAACAGACUAUAUUUCUUUUUUAUCGACCUGUUUACAUUAGACAAGCCACUUUGUCGAGGUAUAGGAGAAACUUGAGUCACGCGCUUACAUGCGAACUAGGAAUUACAUUUUCACUACUACAAACUCGUUAACCCUACGUAUAAUUACAAUUGUGUAGUAGAGACUAUUAUCGUCUUCUCAGUGUUGGUGAUAUUACCUAUGGACACAAGGGGGGUUGGGAAGGAAGAACGUGUGAUAGGGGGAUCGGUCGAGUAGGGGAAUUGGAAAAUAGCUAAUUCUAGAAUGCCAAUUAAGGACUUGCAUAGUUCUUCUCCUCAUCGUAGUGUCUUCAAAUAUGCGAGGCGAAAUUGAACAAGGGGAGAGCGAAGAGAUGGGAAAAAAGAAAAAAAAAAAAAAAAAAAAAGAAAAAGAAAUAGAAGUAGAAGAAGAUGAUGAAGAAGAAGAAAAAGAUGAAGAAAAAGACGAAGAGGAAGAAGAUGAAGAAAAAGAAGAGAAUUUAUAAAGGGGAUAUUUAUUCGUCUCGUGAGAGAAGGAAAUCCGGUUUUCAUCUCCUCCCCCUACCUCCCACCCUCCCACCCUCUCUCUCGCUCUCUCUCCCUCUCUCUCCCUACAAUUUUAUUUUUUCUUUCUUUCUUUCUUUCUAUUUCGUAGUUUUUCUCGACGUUAAGAUUGCCUUUUAAAGGAUCAUGAUAGAGGUGGUGGGGGAACGAGAUGCGCAGGAACGAAGGAAGGGGUUAGAUGGAAGGGAUGGAUCGUAGUUAGGUGCUAAAAGAGACGGUAAUUGCUUGUAACUCUCCAGGGAUUCGCGCGAAAUACUUCUUUCAUCAUUAUUCGUAGCUCACUCUCGUAAGGACCUCGAGCGACCUCGUAAAAAGUUGUGAGGGGAAUAUCUUGCGAUAGAGAGAGAGAGAGAGAGAGAGAGAGAGAGAGAGAGAGAAAAGAAAAGAAGAAGAUCCAAGAAGAAGAAGAGGACGAGGUGGAUAAUGAUGGCCGAUGAACCAACAAGCAACAACCGGUUUUCGUUGUCGUUCGACACGAGACGACAGAGUUCGAAAGAGGCCGAAGAGGAGAAAGAGAAGAAGAAGAAGAAGAAGAAGAAGAAGGAGGAGGAGGAGGUGGUGGUGGUAGUAAUAGUAGUGAUGGUGGGACACAACUUAUGGGGAAAAUUAAUCGACAAAUCGCUCACCUGGUCAGCCAUAUUGUAGCCGUCGUUCAAGGACAAAUCGAGAUUGUCGUUUCUCUGAAACAAACGAAGAAAAG